UAAACUAAUAUGUUCUCAUUGAGCUUCAAUUUUUCUGUGAAGUGAAAUUUUUUUGGUGCAUGGUUUCUUUAGAGCAUAAUUUCAUUCCCUAUUAUUGUUGCCAAUAUAUUAGGUUUGACUAUUAACAAUGCAUGUUGCUAUAUUCAACUAUCUUUAUAUUCAUCAAUAUACAGAAAAGAGUUUCUCAUGAAAAUCAUCUUCAUAUUUCUGUAACAGAACUCUCUGAGAUGGGAUCCUUAUAUUAGUUCUAAUUUCAAUGUCUUUUCAAUAUAGAUUAUUUGUUAAGCUGUAUUGUUUCAAAGUUUCUAAUCAUAUACUUGGAAUUCUGUAAUUGCACGUAGAAAUGCUUUGUGGGAGAUUUGGCAUGCUGGUCCUAUAUGGGUUUGAGAAAGCUAAUUAACCAUCAAAAGUGCAGGCAGUCAUAUAUCUUUCUUGCAUCUUUGGUUCUCGGAUUUGCCUGUGUAAUUCAUCAAGUGCAAGAGGCCUCCAAGUACAAGGCCCUUCACUGUCAUCAAAAACAGGAAGUCUUUGUUUGAAGAUUUAGAAGCACAUUACUAAUACAAGUAAGAGGUGUUAAGAAGCUUCACAUCUCAGGCAUUGAAAACUUCCAGAAUGCACAGUAUUAGUUGUGUCACCUAUGAAGCCAGAUUCCUCUGCUUCAACAAUUCUGUAGACAUGAGGAAGGCGAAUAUGGAUUUUUUGCAUCCAUGUACUGCUAAUAGAGUAACUGAGCUUCCCGGGUUUAAAGAUGAAGUUCAUAUCAGUGUAUACCCAUCCUCUUCACUCCCUCAUGUUUAUCAGUGGCAUUCCGGAGCAGAUGGGUGAUAAGACUUGUGGAUAUUGGAUUAUGCAUUACAUGAGGGAUAUAGUAGAGGACAAAAACCAAGAGUGGAGUGCUAAGUGGGAAAGAAAAGCAAAUCACUAUUACACAAUGGAGAAUGUUGAUGUUGUCCGGGCAGAGUGGGCAAAGUAUGUUAUGAAGUUCAAAGAUAACUAGUGCAUGUGUAGGUUUAUUAACUAGUGCAUCAACUUUUGGACAUGGAUAGUUGAUAUAUAUAUAUAUAUAUAUAUAUAUAUAUAUAUAGGCCAGAUUUUGAUUGCAGUACUGCUAGCUAUUUUGCUAUGUUGUUUAGUUGGUUGCCCACAUUGUGUUGUGCUUCUGGCUUAUUAGCAAGCAGUACUGCAUGCAUAUAUUUUGGUGGCUGCCCAGUUUAGUAUAUAUGGGCCGUUUAGAACUGAUGUUGAUGAUUAGAACUGUGAUGUUGAUGAUUAGGUUCUGAUGUUGAUGAUUAGAACUAUGUACAUGAGACAAUGGUGGAUUAAUGGAAAUUGCAAUGAAUGAUUUUGGA